rnacentral:rRNA from 1 species
UACAGAGGGCGCGAGCGUUGUCCGGAAUCACUGGGCGUAAAGGGCGCGUAGGCGGUCAGCACAAGUCAGUUGUGAAAUCUCCGGGCUUAACUCGGAAAGGUCAACUGAUACUGUGCGACUAGAGUGCAGAAGGGGCAACUGGAAUUCUCGGUGUAGCGGUGAAAUGCGUAGAUAUCGAGAGGAACACCUGCGGCGAAGGCGGGUUGCUGGGCUGACACUGACGCUGAUGCGCGAAAGCCAGGGGAGCGAACGGG